rnacentral:rRNA from 1 species
GGAUUAGAUACCCUGGUAGUCCACGCUGUAAACGAUGUCUACUAGCCGUUGGAUUCCUUGAGGAUUUGGUGGCGCAGCUAACGCGAUAAGUAGACCGCCUGGGGAGUACGGCCGCAAGGUUAAAACUCAAAUGAAUUGACGGGGGCCCGCACAAGCGGUGGAGCAUGUGGUUUAAUUCGAUGCAACGCGAAGAACCUUACCAGGUCUUGACAUCCAGAGGAUCCACUAGAGAUAGAGGAGUGCCUUCGGGAGCUCUGAGACAGGUGCUGCAUGGCUGUCGUCAGCUCGUGCCG